rnacentral:rRNA from 1 species
UUCGUAGGUGGCUCGCUAAGUCAGACGUGAAAUCCCUCAGCUUAACUGGGGAACUGCGUCUGAGACUGGCAAGCUCGAGUGCAGGAGAGGAACGCGGAAUUCCAGGUGUAGCGGUGAAAUGCGUAGAUAUCUGGAGGAACACCGGUGGCGAAGGCGGCGUUCUGGACUGCAACUGACACUGAUGAACGAAAGCCAGGGGAGCGAAACG